GCGGCCCCGAGCCUGCCCGGGCGCCUUCUCUCCCGUUCGCCCCAAUUCUGCUUUACCCCAGUCUGCUUCGGAUUGUUGUCUCCCGCACCCCACGUUCUCAGCCAGCGGGACCACGGUGGUGUGGACUGGGGGUGGAGCUGUUCCUUGUACCCACCGUCCCACCUGCCCCUCGAGCCCUCCCCCAGCAAGCGCGGAGAGAUGAGAACUAACGACUAGAGACCCAGAAAAGGUGAGGUUUCCCCAGGCGCGGGGAUCCUCAAAACGAGUGAUCCUCGUGUUGGUGCCAGGAGAGCCUCCAAGGUGGGGAAACUGAGGCUUAAAAAAGGACGUUGGCCAAGGUCACCAAGCAGGUCCAAGCACAGAUCUGCUCUGCAGGAGACUCUACCGGCCUGUGACUGACAUCAGCAGUUGACUGGAUCCCACACGGGAUCCUGGAUCCUCCCCGGGCCCCUGCCACUCAGCUUGCAGGCAGGAGCCAAGGUCUGUCUCAUGUCCCCAGGGGCAGUGAGGAGGAGACAGAUGACCCAGGGCCUGCUGGUCACAUGGCUGCAGGCAUAUGAAACCUGUCGAGAAGCCAGGCAAACCCCAGCUGUCGUCUGAAUGUCUGCCUGAGGCCUCUGGACCAGCUUGCUGCCUGUACAGACCUGGGGUUGGAGUUUUAAGAACUCCCAGAAAAGCCCCCCAAAGCUCUUCUUGACCACACACCAAGUCAGCUGGGUCCUUACGACCCCUUAGGAUUUCUGAUGAAGCAGAACUGCGGCGUAGGAAGAAUCAGCCACCGACCCAACAGACAUUGCAUCUGCUCUUGCAUCUAACACCUUCCUUCGAUGGGACGUUACUCAUGUCCCUUAACUUCCCAGGGCCUCAGUUUCCCCACAUGUGAGCCAUCCCAGCAAGACGAGAGCAGCAGUGGUUCGCCAAGUCCAGAGACUCACUCUGUCCUCCCAAGAGAGGCAGAGUUCCUGCCCUGCCCAAGACCAGGCCCCUGGAGGCCUCUCUUCUUAACACACACGCUCUGGCUCGUUCUGCUCUCUGACACCCUCGUUCAGCACCAAGGAGAGCGCCCAGUGCGGCUUUGGCAGGCCCUGAGCUGAAAGAAAGUGGUGUAGGACCCAGGAAAGCCUGCCAAGACAGCCUGAACCAGUGACCAGAGGAAGCCAAACUUGAGGAAGGUAAGCACCAAGGUCAGGUCUGCACCAUUGGCCACAGUGUUGACAGAGCCAAAAGGCCUGACUGGAAAGAAGCGAUGGGGUAGAGAGGCAGAGGUUGGGGAGAGGGGGUGUCUAGGGACAAGAGAGGCUCUGGCCUCUGCUCCUUGGCUGGGGAAUAACGUUGUUCCAAGAACCCAGUGGGGACAGUGUCUGGAGGUGAAUAAAAUAUUCAUCGUCCAGGCACUCACUUGAUGAAUAAUGAAGUGUGUACGCUUGCAGACUCAGGCUGGCCAGGAGAGGGUGCAGUCUGGAACCUAUGGGCUCCGUUUGCUCGGAUCCCUGUCCUGUACUGAUCACCCCUCUGAACCUCCGGAGUCUGGCUCCUGAAGGGAAUAGAUAGGAUCAAACGUGACAGCAUGACCAGUCGUCUGAGGGACGUGAGAGGACAGUCCUUAAAUCUGUUUCUCCUUCAGAAGCAACUUGAGGAUGGAAAAGAACCCAGAGGUGUGGGAUUCAGGGUGACUGUGAUGAACCCUGACUACAGGCUGUCACUGGCUUCGUGCCCUGACGGUGGCAACUGUCUGGGCCUCAGUUUUCUGUCUUGUGAAAUGGGCUCAUGCUGCCAGCACACAGACCACUACAAAGAGGGGCUUAGUAAGGAAGGUGAAGGUAGCUGAUGCCGUUGGUCCUGGCUCUAGACUUUCUGAGCCUAUUCUCUGGCUCCCAUGAUCCCGAGUCUAGGAAUGGCCUCACCUAGCUGACCUGCAACAAACCGAAUGACAGAAGAGAUGUGAUCACAAAUGGGGAGGCACUCAGGACCCUCAGGGCAAGGUUGGCUGUCGGUAACCAUAGAAACCACCAGACACACAUUCAUACAUACAGCCCCUUAUCCUGAGAAAGGCUGCUUGCCUUGGGCAUACGUUAAAAACUCAGUGAGAGCCUCCAGGGGAACAGAAAGAAGGCUGGAGAGAGGGGGAAAUGGGUUAGGAAGAGUUUGGGGUGUCUUGCACAGAAGGCAGCAGGGACUCUGUCCCUGUUACCCCAGGCCUCAGUCUUCCCCUUAGAAAAGUGGGAGCCUCUGGCUGGAAACUGGCAGAACCACAGACUGUGAAGCUCACUGGGAAUCAGGACUUGACAAGGACGGGAGGAAGCCUUAGUGUCACCAGCCCGGCCCUUGUUCUGGGUUCCCUUCCUAAGCCAUCACUGUAUCUGGUAUAGAGGAGACACAAGGUUGGUGAUGAGAGCCCUGGCCUCCCAGACUCCUGCCUCAGUCUGUUGCUUAUAAGUGCAGCCAACUGUCUGAGGUACCUGCUGGGUGCAUCUCAGGCCACCCUGGUUCCACAGCCACAGGUGACAUGUCAGUGGAAGUUACCUCUUCUGGCCAGAGACCGGCUAGGACCUGUGGUCCUCUCCUCUUCCGGUCUGCAUGUGACAUUAAGGCUUAUCCCGGUGCUGAGAUGUGUAGGCCUGAAGUCUGCACCCUGGAGCUGUAGAGUUUGGGCUUAUCCUCCGGGGGCAUCUAUAGGGCAAGUCAUUGUAUCUCUAAGAAUCUGGGUACCUCCCCUGGGAAAAAGGGGGAGCCCAGAAAGUACAAAAUAUGAAGGAAUUGAUCCUGGGGUCCAGAACAGUCUAAGCAUUUCCAUGGCCGUCCUUGAUGUCAGGGAUCCUGAGUAGCCCUGCCUUCACGUGCCUGGGUGCAGCCUGUUUGCAUACCUCUGGGGACAGGGCUCUCUGCCCAGAAGUGCUAGCACGUGUCAGUUCCUGGACUCUGCCUUUGUAUGCAGAGAUUUCUCCUUCUCCCCUCCCGCGCACCUGUGUGCAGAGAAAAAGGUCGGAAGGGGGCUGAACAGACACAGUGGGGCCGGAAUGGAGAUGCGUUCCCUCCCCGUCCCUCAUUCCGUGGCUCGGCUACUGGGAUUAGCUUGGCAUCAACCCAGGGCACUGAAGGGAGAUGCUCUGUUCACAGGGAGACACAGCCUCUGGAGGAGCUGGGUUCGGGGAGCCCCUCAACCCCCGCCACUGCCAGAUCUGUGUAACACCGCCUUAUAAUCUGUUGGAGUCCCAGUGUUAGGGGACUGGGUCAGCUGGAGGCGUUGGGGGUGGCAGGUGGAGAAACUUCUUCCAGGGCCAAGCAGGUCCCUCACGGCCCACAGCACCCCAUCAUGUUGAGCCUAAGUGAUGGUAACCCAGCUGCAGUUUAACUGGUAAUUAAUCCUGGACAGGGCAGCAAUGGCGUUACUAAUUGGAUCGUUAGAGAUUUGUGCUUUAUGGCUGCGUAAUUAGAGAAGCUAUAGGGGGCCACGGUGAAUUGAGGGGGCAUGCAGGGUUGGGGGCAGGGCAUAGCAGACAACACCCCUUACCAGGCCAUAGCUGGGUCACUGCAGGGCCUCUGAUCUGCUCACCUUCCAUGCUGUGGUCCUAGGUGUCUGAGCAGGGGCUGGCAAUAGCCCUACAUGCCACCUCUCUAUGUUACUUGAGGGGACCCCACCCCAAUCUCAUAGUCCAGUUCCACAGGGGCAGAGGGACAUUUCUUUAUGUUCUUCAGGCUCACAGGCCAGCUACAAAAGGUCCUCGUCUAAUUGCUUAUUGUUACCUUUUUAUGGAGCUAGGAUUUGAGCCUUGUGCACAUUGGACAUGUUAUCUACCACAGAGCACAUGCUAUAUCUACCACAGAACACAUGCUAUAUCUACCACAGAGUGCAUGUUAUAUCUACCACAGAGCACAUGCUAUAUCUACCACAGAACACAUGCUAUAUCUACCACAGAGCA